GACGAACGCUGGCGGCGUGCCUAAUACAUGCAAGUAGAACGCUGAAGGAGGAGCUUGCUUCUCUGGAUGAGUUGCGAACGGGUGAGUAACGCGUAGGUAACCUGCCUGGUAGCGGGGGAUAACUAUUGGAAACGAUAGCUAAUACCGCAUAAUAGUAGAUGUUGCAUGACAUUUACUUAAAAGGUGCAAUUGCAUCACUACCAGAUGGACCUGCGUUGUAUUAGCUAGUUGGUGGGGUAACGGCUCACCAAGGCGACGAUACAUAGCCGACCUGAGAGGGGGGUCGGCCGCACUGGGACUGAGACACGGCCCAGACUCCUACGGGAGGCAGCAGUAGGGAAUCUUCGGCAAUGGACGAAAGUCUGACCGAGCAACGCCGCGUGAGUGAAGAAGGUUUUCGGAUCGUAAAGCUCUGUUGUAAGAGAAGAACGAGGGUGAGAGUGGAAAGUUCACACUGUGACGGUAUCUUACCAGAAAGGGCCGGCUAACUACGUG
rnacentral:rRNA from 1 species